UAGUAUAUAUAUUUCGUCGCAUUUGAAAGUAUAAGACCAACAACAGUUCAUACCAAAGCGGGAUACACAAAACCGGAACAAAGAGAACAAGAAAAAUAUAUAGUUGCUUUGACAGAAAGAAUCAGUAACAGCAUUAACAGCAACCACUACCAACACAAUGCUAUCUACACGAACAAUCCUGGUCUGCGUCGUCUUGGUGUCCGUGAUGCUGUACGCAGAGGGACGCAUGUGUCAAAUGGACCCGGCCACCAUGUCAUGCACGGAUGUUGUGCCGCGAGGGGGUCCGAAUAAGGGCGUGUCCAUGUGCUCGAAAAUAGGAAAACAAUGCCAAUUGAAAAUACGACGCAAGUCAAUUCAGUGCAUGUGCGGAGGGGAACCUGAUGGACAUCCGCUGCAUUAGGAUUAUAAAUGGUUUAAGGUCCGAGGUAUGGUCUAACGUAAUAAACGCUGUUUCAAAACGGGUUUCAGAACGAAUGACUGCAAAUCGAAUGAUGGAAGUAUCAUGGACAAGAGUUAAUUUCUUAAACUGUACGGUAAAUGAGGGAAAUGAUAGAAAUGAUGUUAAUAAGUCACCAACAACUUGCAAGGCCGGUUUUAUGUGAAAUGCUCUUUUGAAUGACUGUAGGAAUUUUUAUGAACAUGUCAUUUUAAUAUGUCCUUUAAAGUCUCAACAACUGAAUCCCUGGCGGGUAUGAUUGUUUCUAUAUGAGCGCGGUGAAAUGCUCAUUUUCUUGUGCGAACUUUGCACCUUCCAUCUUGUGAAUUUCCAUUGUCUUAAUAGUUGUAUGAAUUACAUACUUGUUUUGAGAUACACAGUAUUAUUUAUUUACUUUACAAGUGUGUUGGAAUAUUUUUUAAGGUGAUACAUAUGAUGCCUUCAUACAAGAUUAUCGUGGUAUUUAUUUGUUUUGUAUAUGUAUUGUUGUUAUGUUAGUUAUUAAGUUUUUACAUUAUGAUGUUUUACUUUUUUACGUGAUUUGUUAUAUACAUUCACACUAAUGAUGCUGAAUAAAGUGCCUUUUUCGGCGUAAGCUGUCUUAAGCCAGCUUUUCACCUCUCCUGACCUUUGUAAGUGUCCAAUAAAAUUCAAAUAAAAUUCCCCGCGGCUAGGUACGAAUGAAUACACUUCAUUUAUUCCAUUGGCUGAUUUGAGUAUUCCACCAGAACAUUGGAAACAUAUACGCGUCUUUGAAACACUGUCUUACUGCAUGAAACAAUUUUAUUUCUAAUGAAAAGGCUUAAUAGAUAGAACAGUUUUACACUCAAUUCUCGACAUCAAUACAGUUUGCGCGUGCACCUUUUUAUUUUCAGAGAAUUACCAGCGCAAGGCGUUUAUAUUUAAAGGCUAUGUUCUCAUAUUUAGUACUAACUUCCAUAUUCUUGUCAACAUGUUAACAUGUAAAAGUAUAAAGAGCAGUGGAAGCGAGGCCUCACUUUAAUACAUUGCAUUUCAACCCGGGUCAUUACGCGGCCAGUGUAUGAAUGUCAGAGUUUAUAUACAGGUCAUCACCGGAGUUCGCGGCCAGUAAAAUAAUAGUUAUAUAAUAAAUACGCUAUCCGUGAACUAGGUGACCUGGAAUUUUCUUUAGACCAGAAAUGUGUAGAUUCUUAAUGUGUUUUCAACAAUACAAUGAUACAUAUUAUUUUUGAUUAAUUUAACAAUAAUUAUUCCACCAUAUUGACCAAUGUAUUAAGCAUGAGCGCGAUGAUUAUCGAUACUGUUAAUAAUCGAAUCAAAUAGCAAUGCCCGACAAACCACUAAAACAGGUUUGUUCGAAGAACGCGCCUAUAAUUACGGAUACUUCUCGUGUGGCCGGUUGACUCGUAUGUUUUAAUUUCACUUCCAUUCUUCUUUUGGUUCUCUGUUUUGUAUCUAAAGGUUUAUGACCAGCAAUAUGUAAUAAUGUAAAAUAAGCCGCGAAAACUCCGCGUAACAUCCCGUACUGCGUGUGAUGCAGCUAAGAACUGCACAGAAAAAAGACAUUCGCUAUCAUUGAUCUCAUUCAUUGAACUAUCAACGCCGUAUGUCUUUUUUAAAGAUAUUUCUUGUUACAUUUCUGAAUAAAAUCUUACUUCCUUAA